UUUUUUUUUGUUUAUUGUAUUAUUUACAAUAUUCAAUAGAGAAUUUUUGUUUUUUCGAUUCCUUAAUAUUGACAUAUGCAUUUAUAUAUUUUCAUUAACAUCACCGUCAGCAUAGUUGUCAAAGAUUCUAUUCAUAUUGCAAGCAUGUUGUUUUUAUGUAGUACGCAUUAAAUAUUAUGGUUUGCUGAACCUUGUUGACUGAUAUUAUAUUGUCGAAUGGUAUUGUAUGAUAUUGAGGGUCUGAAUAAUAUUUCAUGCUGAAUGGUUUGCUGAAUCUUAUUGUCUGAUAUUAUUUUACUGAAUGUGUUUGAAUGAAAUUGAGGGCUUGAAUGAUGUUUCUAAGUGGUUUGCUGAAGGGUGUUUAUGAGCACAUUGUUGAAUAGUGUGCUAAAUGUUGUUUCUGUAUAUAGUAUGAUAUUGGUUGUAUUAAAUUAAGUACAAUGAUCAAUUUAAAAGGUCAUAUUAUGUAAUUCGUAUAAUUAUGAUCAAUAUUGUAAGUAUUAUGAACUCCGAAUAACAUCAUUCUCCUUCUAAUGAACAUGUAAAAAAAAAGUGUAGGCCAAAAAAGAAAGGGAAUAAGCCCAAAUAAACAAAUCAAAGUGACUAACACAAAAAUUCAUGUUGACUUCAAUCAAAAUGGGCAGCCUGUAUCGAAAGAAACUGUCAAGAUGGCUACUCAUAUUGGAACCAUCGUCCAUCGAAGGAUUUCAAUUAUGUACAUCGAUUGGUGAUGAGUUUCUGAUGAUCUAAAUGAUAAGAUAUGACAGUCCAUUGUGGUAUGUUUAUUUAUAUGAUCAUUUAAUUGAAAUUCAAUGUGUUGAUACUAUUUAUGUUAACUUAUUUAGAAACAGUUCGACGUCUUAAUUGAGUGUAAAAAGAUUGUGUUGCAAUUUUUUGGAAAAGCUUUCAGAGACUUUAAAAGCAUAUUGAUAACCCAAUAUAUUUUACCGUUGACUAGUGAAGGUGAUGUUUUGGUUGUUCCACCUGCGACAUAUGCAGAUGUCAUAAGUAUUACAGAUUGGAUAAAUUUUAUUCAAUAUCGACUUUCAAAAGAUUUUUUGGUAUGCAAACCCAUUACCAAAUUAGUCCAAGUUUAUAAGCCUUUAUGUAAUAUGAGCAUUGAUCUCAUAUGUGAUUGACGUAAUUUCUUGAUUUUGUACGAAAUCAAAGAAUAACAUCGAGACAUUCGCCAAACAGUAAUAUUCCCAUCGGACAGCAGGAAAAUGAAUUAAAAUGUGAAAUAUGAGCUUGUAUGUAUCGCACACUUGUUUUAUACUCAUUAAUAAAAUUUAGAAACAUCAUGUCAUACAUUCUGAUUCCCUUUUAUUACACGAUAAUUUAAUAGAAUUAGUGAGCUCAAACAGUAAAAAUUUUCAGAUGGGAGUCUAGAAACCAAAAGACAGCUAUGAAGAUGCGUCUUUCACAGAUGAGCAAUCACGAAAUGUAAAAAAAAAUACUAUAUGAUAGCUUUUUUUUUAUAUAAUGUAUGAUUGCAUUAUUAUAUGCAUGACGUGUAAUUAGCUUUGUUAGAUUUGUUCUACAGCAACUUACUAGUUGUCUUUCAGGAUGAUUGUGCGUGCUAAGUAAAAGCUGCGUGAACUGACAACCUAGUAUUGACGAAGAUCUUUUGUCUUUAGCAUUAGGUGCUAAAGAAAGCCUAGUCGGGUUCAUGGGGUUGGUAAACUUUAUCUUGCCAUCAACGUUAUUUGGUUAAACAACCAAAACCCCACGAAUGAGAAAUUGCCACAAUCAUGAAGCAAUAAUUAAGCAACAAUAGCAACAAAUUAAUGCCAAGAGUAAUGUCAUCAAUGACCAACAGACAAAGACUCGUUGCUUUGGAGUCCAUGUUUCUAACAAUGCAGCAAGUUAUGCUAGUAAGCCCGGUCUGAUGUAUCGUCCUCGUAUGAGAAGCGUUCUGUUACAAGUGAGGAAGCGAUCCCAUCAAUUCGCUACCACUUAAAAAGUAUGAUAUUGUUUAUAAUUUGAAUAUUUCAGUUUAUUUAUUAUUUUGAUUUGAUUUGGUUUUAAUACUUUAUAUUCCAUUAAUAUUGUAGAAGGAUGUUUAGACUGCAAAGUCUGACCCUUGCCCAGCUUCUAUAAAUGAGUUAACAAAAUAUUCACUGGAGCAUUUAUCCAACGAAAGCUUCAUAUCCAUUGAGUUUGAGGAAAACUUAUUUGAUAAACAAUCAUUUUCUUUCAUUGGUAUGGAUAGGGUGAACGAAUUUUAUGAAAUGGAUGAAUUAUCAGCUGUUGAAAUCGUUGCUUAUAUGAUGUUAGCUUAUAAAUACAAAUAUGCACAUUCAAUAUGUAGUAAGUUAGUAUUAGGGUGUAAUACUAACUAGCAGUGUUGAUUGUUAUCAUAUAACUUCCUACAUAGAGAGCUGAAGAGAAGAUAGUUGAUGAACAGAUUUAGAUUUAAUAUAUUAUUAAUGUAUAAUAUUUUACAUUAUCAAUAAAUUAUAUAAUAAUAUUAUUAAAAAUUAAUUUUAAAUAUGUAUUUUAAGAUAAAGUGUAUUUAUUUUUAAUUUUAAAAUUAAUUUAUUAUAAAAUAUUAUUAUAUGUUAAUUAAAAAUAAUGAUGUAUUAAAUAUAAACUUUAUAUUUAUUCUUAUCUUUCAUUAUAUUCAUAGCUAUUACAUCUUAUAAAUACAUUAAUUUCUCAAUAAUUUCUUAAAAAAAUAGCAAGACUAGUUGAUAAAUAAAUUUUCAUUUAAGAUCUGAUUUCUUCAGAUUUUUUUGUCCAAAUUUCACGUAAAACUUUUACUAAUUGGCAUUAAUUCAUAAAACAAAAAUAAAUAGUAAAAUUUACUAGCAAAAGUAUAAAAUAUUUUAUGUAUCUUAUACCCCGAUAAAAAAUUAAAAAAGUAAAACAUUAAAGAGUUGGGCAGUUGGGCAGCUGUGAAGUAGCCGUCAUUUCGAAAUUAUAGUAACUACGUCACAUGUGCAUCUGCAUGACCUCCUUUGUAUUAUUAAUACGCUUUGCUCUAACGUCUCCGUAAUAUUAAUGCCGUCCUGUGCAAUAAAGGAAAAGUGAUCCUAUGACUAGGCACAUACGAAAGUCUUUGAAUCUGAUAACUUUGAUCUUAUCUUGCAUUUGUGGAAUCAUACGUGUAAUAAAGGAUAAGUCAUGCUACAUCUCUUGUCUCUGUAUUAUUAAUGCCGUCCUGUGCGACUUGUUAAAGUGUCUCUUGUAUAUUUUUAUACUUUUAUAUUUAUGAAAUUAAUUAAACUUAUCAACGCUAUAAUUUGUAUACUUUUAAAUAUGAAAGCCUCAAUUCGAAAGUUGAAUGAAUAUGGGGGGUUAAAUAAAUCAAGUUCUCAAUGAAAAUUAGAAUAUGCAAAUAGUUAAAAUAAAAUAUCUAAUUAUUAUAUAAAUUACAUGUAAUUACGUAUUGAAAAAUAUUAUUGUAUACUAACUCUAACGUACAUAUUAAAUCUGAAUAAUGCCAUUUUAAUCAUUAAUACACGGAGGUAGAGGACCACAAAAGUUUGCUCAUCUGUCCCACACCUAACUUCCUCGAAGAGGAAAAAAACGUAGAUAUCAAAGUCUUCUGUUGCCCGACAAGGACAUUGUCAGAAAAACAGAGGUUUUCGGAAAAAAAAAAAAAACUCAGGUUUAUUUAGUUGAAAUAUAAUUUACGUUGGACUUAGUAAAAAGAAAUAAGACAGAAAGAAAAGAAAGAAAAAGCAUUCAAAUCUGGUAUUUUUUUGGUGAAAAAAUUAACUUAAUUAUAGUUAUGUAGUCAACAAUGAGAUGCAUUAAUCAAAAUUAAAAUAAUAUUAUUAUAAUUAAAUUAAAUAUAAUUAGUUUAAUAAAAAGUAGAUAGGGACAAGUGAUUUUUAAUUUAAUAAUUUAAGAUUAAAUUAAUUAAAUCAUGUUAUUUAUGUUAUUUUAUUUUUAUUAAUAAAAUCAAAUUUAUUAAUUUAAAAAAAUCUAAGAGGUGAAAUUUAAUUCGAUUAUUUUUAAAUCAACCAAAAAUAAAAUAAUUUAAAUCAAAUUAUAUUUUAAACUUUAAUUUCUCUUAUUUAAAACAAAUUAAAUGACAUCAUAAGAUAAAAUAUUUAAAUACUAAAAUAUUAAAUUAAAAACUUCGAUAAGUUAUAAAUUAAUAAUCCUUUUUUGCCAUUUAUCCAAAAACAAACCUGUUUCAUGUAAUUUUAGUUUUAUAUUUAAAUUUUUUAUAUUUUAAAUAAAUUUAGUUAAUUGAUGAUUCCAUCGUAAAAAUUUAAGACUUUUAGCAAUUAAGAAUAAUAUAUUCUCAUACAGAAUGAAAUUUAAGGAUUUAAAGCUUUAAACGAAAUGUUUACACUCGAAAAAAUUUGUCACUAGCUGUAGUAGCUUCAUUUUGGAAACCUAUGAAACACUUGUCUGCAAACCUGCUUUCUAUUAUUUAUACGUUCUGCUACUUUACAUUGUCAUCUUUAAAUCUUCAUAUUUUAGAUUUUUAUUUUCACAAUAUUUGAUACAAUUACAACUUUAUUUACAUAUUUUGUUCUUUGCUCCUUCAGUUUUUCGUUUAGUUAUCAGUUUUUUAAAGUGUUGAUCAAAUUUUUUUGUUUUCAGGUAAGUGUAUUAAAUCAUUGAACUUAUCUAGUAAUUGAUUAUUCCGUUCAAAUUAUUAUUAUUAUUGGUUCUAAAUAUUGCUGUUGUUUUUGUUGUCUCUUUUGUCAGUAAGGCUCUGUUCUUAAGGAUUUGCUUCCGUUUGUAUUUUUGGUCAUAAACACUGUUAUUUGUAGUAAGUGUAGAAAUAAAUAUAUCUUUUAAAUAUUUAUAUAUAGUACUAACUACUAAGCAGUAUUAAUUUGUUUCCAACUUUCUUGCUUUUCUGUUUCCAUUCUUCUUGCAGAUCAGAAUUUAGAACUUUUCCCUUUUGAUUCUCAGCUUGUUCGGCAUCAGUUUUUUUUUUUUUUUUUUUACAAGUUGGGCUUGGAAGAAAAUCCCAGCUGAUCAAUGUUUUUGCUUUGAUACUCUUGAGGAGGAGGUACGGUUUUUAAACUCAGUUCCGUCGUUUUCAUCUUUUACUAUGAUUAAUUAUAUUCUGUUAUGAUUUUGUUGUUGUUAGUUGUUAUUGUUGUCUCUUUUGCCAGUGAGUGUUGUGUUUCCAAGGUGUUGCUUCCAUCCUCAGUUUUUUUAUAGUUUAUUCUGCUUCACUAUUUUUUAAAAAAGAGAAAAAAUGAAGGCUCUUAGUUCUAUUGUUGGAUCCAUUCUUUGCUCUCUUGCUGUCAAAGCGGCCAUAUGGUUUUUCUAAUUAAAAGCCUAUUAAAUAUCUUCUUAUUAAGAGCUUCUUCUUAAAUAUUUUAUUACAUAACUUUUUUAUUUAAAUACCAAAGACAAACUUUUUCUCAAAAAAAGAAAGGGUAUAUAUACUAAAAGAUUCUCUACAAACAACAAAAUUUUCUUCCUAUAUUUAACAAAGUUUUAUUAAUGUUCCCAUAUUUAUGAAUGAAAACACAUACAAUUUUCAACAAAAAGUAAUUUUUCAAGCAAGAAAAAGAAAAAGGUCUAAAUACAAAAAUUAAUUAAACUUAUCAACACUAUAGUUUGUAUACUUUUAUAUAUGAAAGCCUCAAAUUCAACAGUUCAAUGAAUAAGGGGGGUUAAAUAAACAAAGUUCUCAAUGAAAAUUAGAACAUGCAAAUAGUUAACGUGAAAUAUCUAAUCAUUAUAGAAACUACAGGUAAUUACGUAUAGAAAAAUGUUACUGUGCACUAGCUCUAACGUACAUAUUUGAUCUGAAUAAUGCUAUUGUUGCGAAAUUUUAAUCAUUAAUACACGGAGGCAAAGGACUACAAAAGUUUGCUCCCGUGUCUCAUACCCGUCUUUCCUGGGAGAAAAAAAAAACAGAGAGAUCCAGUCUUCGGUGACCGACAAGGACAUUGAUUGUCCGUUAAAAUUGGUCAAAAAAAAAGAGGACAAAAAACAAAGACAAGAAAGAAAAAGCAUUCAUACCUGGAACUUUUUUUGGAAAGAACUUAGUUGAUAGUUUUGUAGUCAACAAUGAGAUGCUUUAAUCAUUAUCAAAAAAAUAUUAUUAUAAUUAAAGAAAAUAUAGUUAGUUUACUAAAAUGUAAAUAGGG
rnacentral:lncRNA from 1 species